ACGAGCCCGCGGGAUCCUCGGAGAGUAUGGAACCCUUCCCCUCCGCUCUCAGCCGGAGGCCAGCUGCGUCCAGCCGGGCUCGGUCUUCUGAACACCGAUUUCAAAUCAGGUCCUCGGGGCCCAGCGUCACUUAGGGAAGUGGUGGCAUUUUGUGGUUGCUGCUAAAUCACGGAGAGCAGCCUUGGCGCUGCCGGUCCCAACUUGAUCCAAGGAGCCUUGAGAAGGAGAUGAGAUUCAGUACCAGGGGCCGGCCGUGGCUCCCAUCCUCCGGAAUCUGCAAAAUGGCUACUUCUUCAGAAAUAAUGGGGAGAGGGAUGGCAAGAGGCCAGAGAUCAAGGCCCUCGAGUAUUAACUUGAGCAUUUGGGCACAAAAUAGACACUUUUGGAUUUUCCCGUCUUUUCCAACACCAAGGAUGAGAUUAUCAAAAGAUGUGUUAAAUUAAUUUGUACCGGCCGGGCGCGGUGGCUUACGCCUGUAAUCCCAACACUUUGGGAGGCCGAGGCGGGCGAAUCACAAGGUCAUGAGUUCGAAACCAGCCUGGCCAAUAUGGUGAAACCCCCGUCUCUACUAAAAAUACAGAAAUUAGCCGGGAGUGGUGGCGUACGCCUGUAGUCCCAGCUACUCUGGAGGCUAAGGCAGGAGAAUCGCUUGAAUCCGGGAGGUGGAGGUCGCAGUGAGCCGAGACCGGGCCACUGCACUCCAGCCUGGGAGACAGAGCGAGACUCUGUCUCAAGAAAAAAAAAAAAUCAAUUUGUACCAUUCCUUGCCCCACCCUGCCGAACUUAUUGAAAGAGCAUCGCUUUCCUCACUUUUCUCCUCUAACAGAAAAGCACUUAGAUGAAGCUACAGGGAGCCAGAAUUCUUUUGACUUGGUGGGUACCGGAGGAUUGGAAGAAUCUAGAUUGAGUAUUCCUUGGCCUUUGGGGAGCUUGCUCUAUGCAAAGUCACCCAGGAAAUGAUACUCCCCCCACUGUGAAACACUAGCUAGAGAUGAUAGACAAAAAGCACAUUUGUUGUAAUCUCCCUUUGACGGGAUUCAGGUUGGGAUAGAUGUCGAAGCAGCUGCUUCUAGGUAGUCAACGAAGAUGUCAACUAGUAAAUGACAACAGACAAGGAUGAGCACAGCAGAGCUGUACGAUUCUAGAUAUCAAAAAGAGCAAGCAGUCUGUUGUACUCACCAUCGCAUCCUCAGCAGCUGCCCAGUGCCCGGUUUUAACUUAGUGCUCAGUGUAUGUGUCAGGUUUGAAUCCCAAUUCUGAUACUACCUGUGCUACUCUCUUCACCUCUCUGAGUCUGUAAAGGAUUAUUUAAGAAUUAAAUGAAACAACAUACAGAAAAGUGUCCUGCAUGUAUAUUUAGUGCCUAACAAAUAUUGGUUGAACGUCGAAAGUGGCAAGGAGGCUCAGUAUGUUCUUAUACGCUUUGCCUCCCUUCUCCUGAGCAAGCAUGUCCUUGCCCAGCUCAUCUGCUUCUCUCACCACUUUUGCCCUCACUCCCUCCACCUGUCCUCCAAAUGACUCAAAAUAAUCUGCACUAUUUAUUAUGCAUCUACUAUGUUCCAAGACAAUGAGGGUCAGCUGAGCCCGCAUUGCAGGAUGGAAAUUUCCAACUAUGUUCUGUUUACAGCUAAUGAUAUUUGCACCUAAUGCAAAGGUUUACAGACUUUACUGUUAUAGAAUCAUUUGGAAUACCUGUUGAAGAUGCAGACACCCACCUUACCAUACCUCCUAUUGCUAAGAUUACGCUUGAAAGGAUCUGAGGAAUACGGGAGGCUGGAUAAUGUAUGAAGAAAAGAGGAUUAUUUGACUCAUGGUUCUGCAGGCUGUCAGCUUCAGAUGAGGGCCUUAUGCUGCUUCCACUCAUGCAGAAGGCAAAGGGGAGACUUCGUGCAGAGAUCACAUGGCUACAGUGCAAGAUGGGGCAUCAGGGGAGAGAAAGGGAGAAGCUGACUCUCGGUUCUUUUGAACAACCUGUUCUCAAGGAUGAGAACUCACUCUCAGGAGAAUAGCACCAAGCCAUUUGUGAGGAAUUCAUCCAUAUGGCCCAAACACCUCCCACCAGGCCCCAACUCCAGCACUGGGACUCAUAUUUCAACAUGACACUUUGCAGGUCCAAAGCCAUACCCAAACCAUAGCAGGGAGCUUAUUAAUUCAUUAGCCUCCAUGAAAUUUAGAAUUAUAGAAUGUGCGAGCUGAGAAGGAACCUCAGCCUCUCUCAUGAUUGAAGAAACUGGAGUUUGGACAGGUUAAGUAAUUUGUCUCAGACACCAAGGAAGUGAAUGGGGAAACAGGGAACAGAACUCAGGUCUCUUGACUAAUGUUUUAGACAUUAAAUAAAUAGGUUAUUAAAUGAAUAGAAUUAUUCUAUAUGAAUAAUUUCAUAUAGAAGGAAGAAAUGCUAUGUGCAAGGUAGAGAGAAAUUAUACAAGAAGCCUCAUUUGGUGCAGGAGUUCAUUUUACGGAAGGUACCUCCUAAAUUUGGUAGAACAAAGACUCAAAACCAGUCUAUGCCCUCUCUCCUGCAAACCAACCGUUUGAUCUUGAACAUAUCAACUCACCUUUCUAACCAGAGUUUCUACUCUAGUACAUCAUUCAAGUAUUUCUUGAGCAACUAAAACAGUGAUGUUGUGGAUAAAGCAGUAAACCAGGUAUAAAGCGUAAGGCCUGCUCCAGAAAACUUCCUAAAAGGCCUAGAACAUGGCUAAAGGAUAUCUCAGAUCCUUUGGACAGUUCUAACGUUCUAUUAAUCUGGGACAGUGGCUCACUCCUCCCUAACCCUGUUUCUUUUCCCCUCAGAGUGUGCCUCCCAUCAUCAUCAUGCUGCUUCUCCUCAGACUGACACUUUUAAUUGGUGAACCUAUUGAGCAGGGUCUAGAGUCUGAAUUCCUUGUUUUCUAAACUGCCUAGCUUAUAGCUGGGGAAUGCUAGGAAAAUGCCAAGUUAGAUAUUUACGUUUCUUGCCUCAAAAGGUUCACUGGAUUCUGGGUUCACUGAUGGAUUAGAACUGAAAUCCAUCAUCUCUUACAGUGGGUCUAGUCUCCAGAUUUGCUGCUGUGUCUGCUGAUACCCUCGACGCCCCAGCACCAGCCUAUCUGGCUCCCUAUUCUGCCACUGGCUACAUUUUCAGGCAAUAACAGAGGAGGUGCAGGCAUUGUGUGGUAGGCCAAAUAAUCCUCCCCUCCCCCAAAGAUGUCCAUGCUAUAAUCCCUAGAAUCUGUAAAUAUGUUACCUUACAUGGCAAAAGAGACUUUGCAGGUGUAAUUAAGGUUAAGAACCUUGAGAGGAGGGGAUUAUCCUGGAUUAUUCAAGUAGGCCCAAUGUAAUCACGAGUCCUUGAAAGUGGAAGAGGAAAGCAGAAGAGUUGCUGACUUUGAUGAUUGAGGAAGGGGUUCUUAAACUAGGGCAUGUGAGUGGCUUCUGAAGCUGGAAAGAACCCUCAGCUGACAGCCACCAAGGAAACAGAGAUUUCAGUCUUACAGACUCAAGGAACUACAUUCUACCAAUGAUCAAUGUACAAGGAAAUAGAUUUUCCCUCGAGCCUCCAGAAAGGAACCUAGCCUUGCUGACACUUUGAUUUUAGACUGGUGAAAUUCAUGCUGAACUUAUGACCUACAGAGUUGUAAAAUAAAUAAAUAAAUUUCUUGAUUGUGCAGAUUAUUUUGUUAAAAAAAGAAAAAAACCAAAUUUUUGUAUUAAGAUGCUAAAUUGGUAGUAAUUUGUUUCAGCAGACAGAAAAUCUAAUACAGAUGCUUCUUGAUUUACAAUGAGGCUAUACCCUGAUAAUCCCCAUCGUAAGGUGAAAAUGCA
rnacentral:lncRNA from 1 species